AUGUGGGCUCGAAUCCUUCGUGACAAGUAUCUUCAGUCAAAAACUUUGUCACAGGUCACAGUACGGCUGACCGACUCGCCCUUCUGGAAGGGUCUCAUGAAGGUCAAGCAGGCAUUGUUUAAUAGGACAAAGUUUGUUAUUGGAAACGGCACGAGUACACGUUUCUGGGAGGAUACUUGGCUCGGUGACACACCCUUAGCCAUCCAAUACCCUUCUUUGUACCGCAUUGUUCAACGCCGUGAGGUGGUUGUUGCAUCGGUCUUUCAAUCUACCCCCCUUAAUAUCCAGUUCAGACGAGUGCUAGCGGGCAAUCGUUGGGAAGAAUGGCUCCGUCUAGUUAGGAGACUGAUGAAAGUCCAGUUUUUUCAACAACCCGAUGAAUUACGCUGGAAGUUGACUAAGUCUGGAGCAUUCACGGUUAAAUCAAUGUAUAUUGAUGUUAUUAAUUCGAACUCCAUCCUACGUCCAAACAUGUUUGGGAUGUCAAAGUUCCUUUGA
rnacentral:rRNA from 1 species